AGAGUUUGAUCCUGGCUCAGGAUGAACGCUGGCGGCGUGCUUAACACAUGCAAGUCGAACGGGGCGGCGGGGAGGAAUCCCUUCGGGGAGGAGACCCCGCGGUCUAGUGGCGGACGGGUGAGUAACGCGUGGGCAACCUGCCCCAUACCGGGGGAUAACAGCCGGAAACGGCUGCUAACACCGCAUAAGCGCUGGGGGCCGCAUGGCUCCCAGCGGAAAACUCCGGUGGUAUGGGAUGGGCCCGCGUCUGAUUAGGCAGUUGGCGGGGCAGCGGCCCACCAAACCGACGAUCAGUAGCCGGCCUGAGAGGGCGGCCGGCCACAUUGGGACUGAGACACGGCCCAGACUCCUGCGGGAGGCAGCAGUGGGGAAUAUUGCACAAUGGGGGGAACCCUGAUGCAGCGACGCCGCGUGGGCGAGGAAGUAUUUCGGUAUGUAAAGCCCUAUCGGCAGGGAAGAAGAAAUGACGGUACCUGAAUAAGAAGCACCGGCUAAAUACGUGCCAGCAGCCGCGGUAAUACGUAUGGUGCAAGCGUUAUCCGGAUUUACUGGGCGUAAAGGGAGCGCAGGCGGCGCGCCAAGUCUGAUGUGAAACCCCGGGGCUCAACCCCGGGCAUGCAUUGGAAACUGGCGGGCUGGAGUGCCGGAGAGGUAAGCGGAAUUCCUAGUGUAGCGGUGAAAUGCGUAGAUAUUAGGAGGAACACCGGCGGCGAAGGCGGCUUACUGGACGGCAACUGACGCUGAGGCUCGAAAGCGUGGGGAGCAAACAGGAAUAGAUACCCUGGUAGUCCACGCCGUAAACGAUGAAUGCUAGGGUGUCGGGCGCCAGGGGCGCCCGGUGCCGCAGCAAACGCAGUAAGCAUUCCGCCUGGGGAGUACGUUCGCAAGAAUGAAACUCAAAGGAAUUGACGGGGACCCGCACAAGCGGUGGAGUAUGUGGUUUAAUUCGAAGCAACGCGAAGAACCUUACCAGGCCUUGACAUGGGAUGCGAAGAUGCAGAGAUGCAUCGGAGGUCAACAUCCACACAGGUGGUGCAUGGUUGUCGUCAGCUCGUGUCGUGAGAUGUUGGGUCAAGUCCCGCAACGAGCGCAACCCUUGUGGCAUGUUGCUAACAGGAAAAGCUGAGGACUCAUGCCAGACUGCCGGUGACAAACCGGAGGAAGGCGGGGAUGACGUCAAAUCAUUAUGCCCCUUAUGGCCUGGGCUACACACGUACUACAAUGGCGGCUACAAAGAGCAGCGAGACAGGGAUGUCGAGCGAAUCUCAUAAAAGCCGUCCCAGUUCGGAUUGGAGGCUGCAACCCGCCUCCAUGAAGUUGGAAUCGCUAGUAAUCGUGGAUCAGCAUGCCGCGGUGAAUACGUUCCCGGGCCUUGCACUCACCGCCCGUCA
rnacentral:rRNA from 1 species